ensembl:lncRNA
AAGACAUCUCUAAGAUCUUUCUCUGGGUUUUUGGCUAGCUUAGUGUUAGCACGCUUGGCAGAUGCUUUCAAAGAACAAAACUUGUGUUAGCAGCAUAAUGCGGUCGUUUCUGUCCGGGAUGCAGUUUUCCACUCCAUCAUUUAUCUUGUCCUUUUGUGCAAUAAAAAUAAGUGCCCAUAUCUCUAGACUACAUCGCUAUUUUCUGGGAACCGGUUUUCUACAAGAACCUGUUCUCAAUUCCCAUAUUCCCAUGUCUACCAACCACUAAACCACAACGUGCUUAAGGCACAUGAUAACUACCAGAAAUCCACUAUUCUCCCUCAGUCACCGCCUCGAGAGGUAUCGUUUUGGUCGAGCACAGCUGUAGAGGAAACAUGGUGGCUACCACUUUCCCUGAGCCACUGUAUUUACUUAAGGGAUUGAAUGAAGACUACUUUGUUCUGGUUCUGUGUCACUAACAUAUGAAGAUGGCAUUAUCCUUUUCCUUUCUCCUGUCGAGAGACUAUGGAGCAGGUGGAGUCAGCCAGGUUAGUCAGAAAUCCACUACCAAUAAGCAGACACACACACGCAGCUUCUCUUGGUGAAGGGCGGGGUAGGGUGAACAUCUACAGGGAAGACUAGAUUAGGGUUAUACAACCAGCUUAAAGCAGCUAUGCACUAGGACACCAAGGCAAGGAAAACCUCUUACCUUGAGCAAAGCAAAAGGACGAGUAAAGGGACAAAUACAACACUAGACAUUGAGAUAUGGGGAUAAAAAUAAAGCCACAAAUCAACAAAGGGGAGUGGGACAUAGGCCCAGUGCAUUUGACAGGAAUAAGUAAAGUGUGUGUGCGUGUCUCCUGACCUUUUUCUUGGUGCAGGAUAGAGUGCGUUAGCUUUCUGCCUGCUGCAAGCAGUAUACGGGUCUAUUUAUAAAUCUCCAGUUCAAAUAGCAACCAGUCUGUUCACAAGCCAACAUGAUAAAAGAACAAACAAACCCAUGUGUGCACAUGAGCAAAUGCGCUGGCAAAAAUGAAGCAAUGGAAAUACAUUUUUACAAUUUAAAUGUUCAAUGGCAGCUGGGGUGCUUUUUGUGGCGAGAAUAACCUCAAAUAAGAUGCAUCCUACAGCAAUUCACACCAGGAAAAAGACUCAACCAGACCAGCAACCAGUGGUCUGAGACAACACACUGACCAGAAACACUUAGAGGCUUAAUCCCACCUUUAUUAACUCUCAGCUCACUAGUUUAAACUGGGCACACAGCCAGCAUCUAGACACCCUGCCAGAAGCUGCUUAAGCACCCUCUGGAACCAAUCAAAAACACAUAUAACAAUGAUAUCAUGAUUACCAAAACUCUUUCCCUUCUCCUUUCCCAGGAAAGUGACACAAAAAUAUUUUAAAGAGAGAGCGCUAUCCAAAAGAGAGAACAAAGUUAAACAAAACAAGACAGAGCAGAAAUACAGAGCCUUUACUGUGGAAUAGACCUGCUCCCUCCGGCAGCCACGGCACUCAAAGGGCAAGAUCCUUCCAGCAAACUGAGCUGUUUACUUCCCUCAGUCUUGGCUCAACCUUCCUACAUGGAAAGACCUCUGUCAACUCCGAAGCAUCUGCUUCAAAGCAGGUAUGCAGGGAAAAACAUUUAUAUCCUUAUAAGGCAGUGAAAUCCAAAUUAAUGACAAUAGACAUUGAACAUCACUGACUGAGCUACUAGAACAAUAUUUUAUCUAUAUAUCCAUUUAUAAAUGUAUUUAUAUAUAAAUUACACAACUUUUCAUCAGGUUAUCCACGGUGUUGUGCAUGCGUGCCAACAUGUGCCCGGCUUUUGGUGUCCACACACGCUUGCAUAUACUCUGACAUAGCCUACCUACUCAUCUGUGUAAGGGAUCAUUUUCAGGUGAAACCCUCCCAGAUUUCCUGGAGCUCAAACCUCUUCUGUUAGGGAAGACCCUGUUGUCGUGGCAACAUUCUUCAAAACACUCCCAAUUCCUCUGGGCUUGUCCGAGCAAGAUGACGCCAGUGCUGGGAGCACAUGCCAGUGUCUCUCAACUCCCAACAGCCCUUGUUAGUAAAUAGCCUAGAGACCCAGCGAAUGCAAGCGAGCGAUCUGCAUCUUUCCUGCUUCAAUUCCCCCAUUCGGCGUAAGUGUGUGAGAUUGCCAUGUGCAGCAGGAGUGUGUGCAGAAGCAGAUAAGGACAGUCGUCACAAUCCACCACUAGUACUUCAACUUUGGGAGGAGUUUGGAGGGGCACCCACUCUCACCAAGAUGCAGUCCAACACGUUGGCGCUGGAGCUUUUCCAUAUGAUGACACACUCACUGGAGAGCUUCACCCACAACCCCUUCCUCUCUGUUCCCACACUUCCCCCUCUCCUUCCUCCACUUAUUUUAACCAUC